rnacentral:miRNA from 1 species
UCCCAGACAGCAACUUUUCUCUUGGGAUGCCAGGUGGGAGGGACCAGAGUCACACUGCACUUGGAGUCAGGAGACCUG